rnacentral:rRNA from 1 species
UACGUAGGGACCAAGCGUUGUUCGGAUUUACUGGGCGUAAAGGGCGCGUAGGCGGCAUGACAAGUCACUUGUGAAAUCUUUGGGCUUAACCCAGAACGGCCAAGUGAUACUGUCGCGCUAGAGUGCGGAAGGGGCAAUCGGAAUUCUCGGUGUAGCGGUGAAAUGCGUAGAUAUCGAGAGGAACACCUGAGGUGAAGACGGGUUGCUGGGCCGACACUGACGCUGAGUGCGCGAAAGCCAGGGGAGCAAACGGG